rnacentral:rRNA from 1 species
UACGUAGGGUGCGAGCGUUAAUCGGAAUUACUGGGCGUAAAGCGUGCGCAGGCGGUUUUGUAAGACCGAUGUGAAAUCCCCGGGCUCAACCUGGGAACUGCAUUGGUGACUGCAAGGCUUGAGUGUGUCAGAGGGAGGUGGAAUUCCGCGUGUAGCAGUGAAAUGCGUAGAGAUGUGGAGGAACACCGAUGGCGAAGGCAGCCCCCUGGGUCAAGACUGACGCUCAUGCACGAAAGCGUGGGGAGCAAACAGG